rnacentral:rRNA from 1 species
CCUACGGGUGGCAGCAGUGAGGAAUAUUGGUCAAUGGGCGGAAGCCUGAAUCAGCCAAGUCGCGUGAGGGAUUAAGGCCCUGCGGGUCGUAAACCUCUUUUGUCGGGGAACAAAGGGCGCCACGCGUGGCGUUGUGAGUGUACCCGAAGAAAAAGCAUCGGCUAACUCCGUGCCAGCCGCCGCGGUAAUACGGAGGAUGCGAGCGUUAUCCGGAUUUAUUGGGUUUAAAGGGUGCGUAGGCGGUCCGGAAAGUCAGCGGGAAAAGCCCGGGGCUCAACCCCGGCGAGCCGUUGAAACUGUCGGACUAGAGACGGCGAGAAGUACGCGGAAUGCGCGGUGUAGCGGUGAAAUGCAUAGAUAUCGCGCAGAACUCCGAUGGCGAAGGCAGCGUACCGGCGCCGGACUGACGCUGAGGUACGAAAGCGUGGGUAUCGAACAGGAUUAGAUACCCGUGUAGUC